UGACAUCUAGAGCACAAGCAUCAGCUUGGCUGGAUGGCCCUCCACAUGCUUCUCCCGCAGACAUUGAUGCUUGUGGCCCCUACCUGAGGCUGGGUUUCUGGGACUUUAGCUGUUAGAAGAACACCAAGCUUCUGAAGUGUGCCACGCCAGCACAGCCAUAGGAGCUGAACUGCAGAUGGCAAAGGAGAGAAUCCCCAAGCCUCCCAGGCCUGGAGUCAAAUGCUGGGUCUGCCACUGGCCAGCUGUGUCAGCUUGGACAAGUCACGUAACAUCUGUAGGCCUAACUUUCCCCACUGAUGAAAUAUGAGAAAACUGAGGCCCAAGGCCAUAGCAAGUCGGCAGCAGAGCUGGGAUCUGAGCACGACCUUGUCCAACUUAAAG